GCGGCCCGCGGGGCCUUUAAUUGGGUGUCCCAUUUUUAUAGUGGCCAUUGUUGGAGCAAUUAGCGAGAGACAAUAAGCGCCAAGAGGCGUUUAAUUCGAUUCUGUGCGCCGGCUGCGGCCAGGACCAGGGCUCUCUGGAAAAAGUGGCUGGCCCAGGAGGGACGCUCUGGUUCAGUGCCGGCGCCCUUGCCGGUUUUGUCUUGGGUGUGGGAGUUCUCAAGGGGCAAGUUGAAAGCCGACUGAGAGCAACCAGGUCCUGGUCCUGGACUGGGGAAACCCGUCCUGGGCCUCGUUAGCCCUGUGGGGCGUCCCUGGAACCUCCGCGCCUGCGGGCGGCACGCGUCCGAGCUGUUGCCACCGCGAGGUCCCUGUUAAAGGGAGAAAAGCAGAGAGGACAGGGACGUGGAAACCGGCUUCCUUCCUCCUUCGCCCUGGGUCCCCCACCUCGAUCGCCCGAACUGCGUUCCAAUUUCCUUCCCCAUUGGGGGAGGAGGGGCAAACGAAAUAACCCCCUUCUGGCGCGUACCACACCUCCCUCUCCACCCAGCCAGCCUCCCUACCCCCUCCUCUGCCUGGGCCCUCGGAUUAGGUUACCGUGGCCGGGCGAGGAUUUUUACUGGAUACGAGAAUAGCACAGGUAAAGCUGUAUAAACAGCUCGCCGGCUGCCGGACGGGAGGGUUACGCCGGGGACACGGCCCAAGGCGCCACCGCCAGGCACCGGCUGCGCGAGCGAAACGGCGGGGGAGCCCUCUCGGGCGCGGCACCCCGGGACAGCGCAGGUUAAACACAUGUUAUAUUGUAUUGUAUCUCCGUAGUUCCCACCCAAGAGUCCUUUCCCGUAUGAGCUGAAAUGCAGGAGGUGGAGAGCGAACUCAAAAAAGGAAACCCGCCCGGGCCAGGAGGAGCGGCGAGAGAUGUCGGAGGCGAGACGCGCUCCGAAAUCACCCCGUCCCAAACCGCCCCCACCGACAGGCUGGGCCGUCCAGCUUCGAGGGAUCCUGGCCCUCCCUCGGCUGCUCCCCUCUUCUUCCCGUAGAGAAAAACCCUGAUCGUAGUGAGAUAAAAAUUGGACUGGAGAUCGCACGGUAAAAUCUGGAUCUGCUCAUCCUUCACCCUUCCCUCCAUCUGGGAUUGCACCCCGCCGUCUCUCCCCGCCAGGCCCCGGCUCGCGCUCAGCACUCCGCUGCCUGCCACCUCGCGGACCCCAAGCAAUUUGUUACAUAAAACAAAACAGCAGCCACCCACGUGUGUCUGCAGACCCGCAGCGACGGACACCCAGGAGACCUACGCUCACGCGCCUUGGGCAACGUGUUUUUCUGGUCCAACCACCGCACACACACUCCCACCACCACCACCUCUAGUCCUCGCUGCCCAGCGGCCAGAAGUGAAAAGUGGGAUACGGACUUUAGAUCUGGGGCUUUCUUGGCCCACCCGCUGCGGUUGGUAAACCGCUCUCCAAUUACUCUCGCCAUUAAGGAAAAGAGGUGAUCAGAAAUAUUUGGUCCGUGCACAAUGACGUACCACGAAAGGAAUGCACUUUUAUGUGUGAAAGGGCUUGGACGCGGAGACCACACCUGAGCACAGUCCAGAAAUGGUUAGAAUAACCAGCUGCCAGAGAACACUGGGCCUUUGGACUCUGUCUCCACAGCCUUGUCAGGAUCCCUAAUUCCCUGCCACCUCCCGCAGUUUUCGGCACAAAUUGCCUUAACUUCCAGAAGAGUGGUUUUCAUCCACCCGGCUCCCGCGUACCGCCCCCCUCCCCAGGCCAUUCUGGGUGGCCCUGUGCUCCUGGGCAUCCCGCAGAGAGGCUCCACCGAUGUGGGCCCAGGGCCCCCACUCUCCUCCUUUCACUGCACCCCCAACUCACCCCCAUCUCCUAUAUCGUUUGCAAAAAGGGAGGAUGGAAAUAUCAAAUAAAGCAAAAUGCAGCUU